UGUUAUUAUUUUUUUUCCUCUUCUUCCUUUUCUUUUUGUUCUUCUUUCUUCUUCCCAUUUCACAUAGAUCAAUUCAAAACACAAAUCACUCUGUAUCAACUCUCUCUUUCGCUUUCUAUCUUCACUACCAAUCAAUCUCUACAAGCUCCCAUUUCUUUAUACGCACGCUUACAGGCGUAAUUCUUCUAUAUUCUAACUUAUAGAGGAGGCUGUGGGGUAAGUAAAGAUGAGCGGUGGUGGGGUUAGGGUUUCAAUCCCGAGCAACGUCAGGAAGACGAUCCAGAACAUAAAGGAGAUCACGGGUAAUCACAGUGAAGAGGAGAUUUAUGCGACUCUUAAGGAUUGCUCUAUGGAUCCCAAUGAAACCGCACAGAAGCUUCUUUUGCAGGAUCCAUUUCAUGAAGUCAAAAGGAAACGGGACAGGAGAAAAGAGAAUGUGAACAACAGAGAGUCUGGAGAUGCUCGUUGGAGACCUGGAACACAGGGGCGGGGGAGUAAGGGUGGUCGGGUAAACUUUUCAUCUCGUCACUCGUCACAUGAUGCUAGUGGUGGCAGGAAUUUGGGCCUUGCAAGGGACAAUGGAACCAACCAAGCUGCAGAGAAGGGAGAUGGCACUUCUUUGCCAGCCCUUCAAGAGGAAAGUAAGGAAACAAGUCUGUCAGCAAGCUCUGCUGCUGUUGCGGCUAAUGGUGCCACUGUUGAACCCUCUGGAAGCAACAGUGAAAUGCAUGCUUAUGAUUCACCUUCAGGAAGUGGCAUAAGUCAAAAUAAAGUGAUUUCAUCACCUAUUGCUGUUAGUAAGUUCGGAAGCACAGUGUCCCCUAUUGAUGCUGACAAAACCCUCACCAUUGCAUUUGGAAUUGGGGAUGCACAUGGGGAGCCCAUUACAACCUCUAGUAACUCCUCGGUAUCUGUAACUCCAGCAUCUUCAUCAACAGUCUGUUUCUCGUCAUCAGAUCCUGUACUUGUUCCAUCUAAUGACUCACGGCUCCCCAGUACUGUGGGUACCAUUAAACGUGAAGUGGGAAGCAAUAGAACUGUUGUUGAAUCAAAUGCAGUUAGUCCUGCUGAGAAAUCAGCUUCUGAGAUUGGUACUUCUUUUCUGCAAGGCAAGAUGCCAAGUAAAUCCCAGGUUGGGAAGGGUCAGCUCAGUGAGUCUUCUCAACCCUCAUCUGCAUCAAUUCAUGAUGGCUCUCCUGGUAGUCGGCCUUCCUCUAACUAUAGUAGCAGGUCACAGCAAGUAAUUGGCCCUCAAAAAGUUGGUUCUACUAAGGAGUGGAAACCAAAGCCAGCAAACCCUAGUGUGCUUCAGGGUUCUGGAACUGGACCAACCGGUUCAUCAGAUGUGCCUAAUAUUCCAGUUGAACCCAGUAUCCAAUCACAGCCUCUAUCAAAUGUCCUUGAUUCAGAAGAAACUACCUCUAAACUGCAGAAGAAGCUAGAGGAGUUGCAUCUUCCACAGCGUCAACAUGUUAUUAUUCCAAACCAUAUUCAUGUCCCUGAAUCUGAAAGAACAAAAUUGAGUUUUGGAAGUUUUGAUGCGAGUUUUGGAGUAAUGGCAAGCUUUGUUAAUGGUCCAGAGAGUGAUAAAAGUUCUACACCUGUGUCCGAAACUUCUCAGGGUAUGGAAGAAGCUGUGGAGGAACAGGCUGUGAGCAAUCAAGAUGCAUUACCGACUGCUGAGGAGGGAGCUUAUCCUGAUCAUCCAGAGUCACCUUCACAUGCACCUGAAAAUUUAACUGGUGAUGGUGACGUCUCAUCCAGUGCAAUGCCCGAGUAUAAUGAGUCCAAGCCAGAAACUGCAUUGCUUUCUCGGGGCCAGCAAUACUCUGUGGUACACACUUCUCCAAGCUACAGUUUUGGUUUUGUUCCUCCAAUGCUGAGUAGUCAGAUUGCACCAUUUGAAAACUCUGAAUCUCAAGAACGUGAUGUUUCUCGUCUUCCUAGCUUUGUAGUUCAACAACCAUUUGAUCCUGCAAGUUAUUAUGCCCAAUUUUACCGUUCGAGCGCUGACAGUGAUGGUCGUGUUUCUCCCUUUCCAUCAGCUGCAGUUGCUGCUAAAUACAAUGGGAAUGUUGCAUUGUUGCCUCCACAUACUUCUCAGUCUCCCCAAGAGGGUGGAAAUUCAUUAGUUCUGUCAACAGCAGGUCCAACUCCACAGGUGACUCAAGCUGCUGGGCUUAUGCAAAGUUCCAUAGCUGUGACUCAACAACCACUCCCUGUCUUCCGUCCACCAACAGGGUUGCACAUACCCCAUUAUCCCCCAAACUACAUCCCUUACGGUCAUUACUUUUCCCCAUUCUAUGUUCCACCUCCAGGCAUUCACCAAUUUUUAAGUAAUGGUGCAUUUCCCCAGCAACCUCAAGCUGGAAGCAUAUAUCCUGCGCCACCAGCUGCAGCUGCCAUGGGGGUCAAAUAUUCACUUCCACAAUAUAAACCAGGAACUAAUACAGGAAAUUCAACUCAUAUUGGAAUGGCAAGUGGCUAUGGGCCAUAUGGCUCCUCUCAAGCUGGUUAUAAUCCCAGUUCUGCAGCAACAGGCGGAAACUCUACUACAAAUGAAGAUCUUGGAUCAUCCCAGUUCAAAGAAAGUAAUGUUUACAUCACUGGGCAGCAGGUUGUAUUCUAAUGGUUCUGUGUGUAUUUCAUCAUAGUUAAUUGGUCUUGUAGUGGAAAAUGCCUGUUCAGAUGGUUCAAUUUUAAAUUGGAAUGUCAAGGCAAUAAUAAGGAUUAUUUCUUGUAUUUUUUUGUUCGUAAAAUUUUAUUAGUUUUAUUUUCCCACUAUUUAUAUUGUUUCUAUGGGUUUCCUUUCAUAAAAGAAUGUUACAGUGUCCUUGAUGUAUUUAGUUUCCUUCUGUUCAAAAACAUUUUGUGUUUCACACUCUCUGGGUUUAUUUUGGUGAAUUACAAAAUAGAUGGAUAACUUUUAAGGUGGUAAUAUAUGAUCAGGGCGGUGGAAGUAGAGGGCGUUGUGGUGUCAUGUUAAUUGCGAUAUUUUGUGUCAUUGGUGGAUAUUGAUUGCCUUGAAAUCGGUGGUGUUGUGAAAUAAUGAGAUGACUGGUUUUGUAAUUGGAAUUGUGUUUACAAUUUUGGUUUCGUAUUGUUGCCAGUGGCAUUGGUGAUGGGGCAGUGGUGGCAGAUGUGAUUGUGAUGAUCUAGCUGCUGUGGCUGCUGUGGUAGUUACUCAUUUUUGGUUGCUGUAGUAUAGUGAUUUUGAUAAUUAAUUUCCUGUCAUGUGGCAUGAUGGUAUAUCACAUUGGUGCUAUGAAUAAGCUUUUCUUGAUCAAUGAAAUGCUUCUGUAUGAUUGCUGUAGAGAUUUAGAUAUGUUUUUUAAUCUGUUCUUUGUAACUACUUCAAUACCCACUUAUUGCUUGUUCAGCUCAUCAGUUAGUCAGAUGGCUGAAUUAAUAUAUUUGUCAGUGCAUGGUUAGUGCUGUAUGAAUACUUGAGGUGCUAGAAUGUGUGCUGGGUUGUUGAACCAGGAUUCUGUAAUGAUUAGCUCAUACAAUCUCCUCUGUUCUUUCACUGCUACAAAUACAUUUGUUGUUGAUGAUGGUUUAUUUUGCAGAGUGAGGGUUCAGCCGUGUGGAUUGCUGCUCCUGGACGAGAUAUAUCUAGCUUGCCAGCAAGUUCCUUCUACAGCCUUCCUCCUCAAGGUCAGCAUGUGACUUUUACCCCAGCACAGGCUGGUCAUGGAACCUUUACUAGUAUCUAUCAGCCCGCACAAGCAGUGACGGCAGCAGCUGUUCACCCACUUCUUCAACAGUCUCAAGCCAUGGCUGGAGCUGUUGAUAUGGUGGGACCUGCAGCCAGUGUAUACCAGCAGCCUCAGCAUCAACAGAUCAACUGGCCUAGUAACUACUGAUGGAUGGAUAUGAUAUAUCCUUUUGUACACCAAGAAAACAAGUCCAAUCUUAGGAUAAAUUUUGGGAACUCCAACAAGUUUGGAUAGAGGGGAACAGAAAGAAGAUACAACAUUGGCUGGAGUGAGAGUGCAAAUCUAGAAGAGGAUUCUGGAGAUCUUCUACUUGUUUUGGGUUGAAGGCCUAAGAAGUGCAUUCAUCUGUAUCAGAUAUUGACCAUUUUAAGUUAGUCGAGGUAGGUAUGUGCAGUUCUCUCUUUCUUGUUGCUGCCAUGUGGGGUGUUACAUUUUCUGCAUUUCGUAGUCUCAAGCAUUCUAUUUUUCUUUAUAAGAAAGUCUUUGAACUUAGGUUUUCUAUUGUUGAGUGGUGAGAACCUUUUUUCCAAUUCUUUUUGACUUUUGAGGUUUUCUAGGGUUCUGGAAGGUAAGAUAUAGGUCGGUGGCGAAUUUUUGCAAUUCCUUUUUAUUGUCUUUCCGCUACCUGUAAAGUGAAUUUUGAUAGCAAGAAAAGGGAUUUUCCUAACUGUUGUAAUUGGUAUAAGCAAAAGUGAACCUUUCAAUUGUUUAUCCUGACUGAUAUUAUCAUAAAUGCUUGGUAAAGAAUGUGAUUCUGGGGAAAGUUCACUGGGAAUAUUGUAUUUUAUUUUUUGAACAUUUUUAAAGUUUGGAAGUUUCUGUAAAUUCAUGCUUGAUCCCGAUCGAAGGUUGGCGUUAAUCAUUUCUAGUUGAUGCUUGGAGGAAAUGGCAUGUGCCCAUUUCUUAGGUGUUCAUUUUUGCAAUUAAGUUGCAACUCACUGAAAGGUGGUGAUGCACACUAAUAACCUGCGCGCUAGGAGCAUUGGCCCUCACCGGAGGGAGUGACUAUAAAAUCCUCCUCCUGUUCUUUGGGUUAAGGGUGGUUUCUGGCUGGAAGCCAUGCCUUUCGACUUUUGAGAUGGUACGUGUUCCAUGUCUUUGGCGAACACCCAACGAAUGCUAUAGUCCAAAGCCUGUUGCUUGACUCGGACUCUGCUUGGUAAUUCUGCAUUGAUGUUAUCUUUCAUUAGAAAUUCUCAACUCCAGUCGCAGUUGGUCUAUUUCAUGCAAAACAUAAGGGAAACAAUUUUUCUUUAAUCUUGAACUCAUCGGUGAUCCAAAGCAUAUUAGCAUUAAAAGGAGGUUUAAGUAGCAGUACUACUCAAAUUUCAUAAACUUGGUGACCAGCCCAAGCUGGCGAACCUUGCAACCCUAAAGAGCCUGAGGAUUACCCUCCUGUCAUGAGGAUCGUCCACGCAGGUGGAAGGUAGAAUGUACCAUAUGGCAAUACCUGCAGUGAAGAUCUUGGAGAAGUACCCAUCUUAUGUGGUAGUCAAGCCGGAGGUAUUCAGGAGACCAUGGGAUUGAGUGGUUCGACGAUCAGAGAAAAUCCUCACCCCAGGACAGAAAUUCUUUCUCGUUCUGCGUCGUAUCGGAUGAGUCACGGUUUGACAUGGUUUCUCGCCAAGAAGAUGAUGAUUUUACAGUUACAAGCAGUGCCUUUAGAAAGAGAAGUGGAAUUGUAACUUUCGUUGGAAAGGAUGACAAGCACAAGGCGUCAAGUUCAUCCAACUCGGAGAAGAAGGGUAAGAGCAAAAAAGGUACCAAAAAGAGCUCAAACUCUGAGUGGGGUGGAGAAAAGAGGACGCCCUGGAAUGCCAUAGCCUUUGUUUUUUUUUAAAAGGAAUGCCGUAGCUUGGCAGCCAUCUUUUCAAGCAAUCACUGAAAGCCAUGGAGACCGAUGAAUUAAUGAUGCUCCCUAGAUUCAC
rnacentral:misc_RNA from 1 species